AUGAUACAUUGCCUAUGGUUCACUGUGAUUGGCACCCACCUUUUAGAGCGUCAGUUUACUGUUUAUGCUGCUGAUAGCUUGGACAGUGUCUACAAGAAAAACAACUUUCGAGCAUUUAACUCAGACAGAUCUUCAGAAAAUACAGUUACUCAGAAAUGCUCAUCUUUGCAGGCCGUCAUACAAUCUAAUAACAUAUUGUUCAAACCGGGUUUUGAAAUGUGUCUCUACAAGAUGGCCAUGUUAUUCAGAUGCCAUGUGUUGCUCAGCAACAAGCAAAGGAUCCUUGUGCAGUGGAUCUUGCUAUCCAUGGCCAAAUCAAGCCAACUCAAUAUCCAAGGUUGA
rnacentral:rRNA from 1 species